rnacentral:lncRNA from 1 species
GUUAGCUAGGAGCAAGUUCAAAAAGAAUUCAGAAAGGGAGGUGGUGGGGGUGGUCAGGAAGGCAGGUCAGUAGACAACUUCUGUGACAUCCUAAGGAGUUCAGACUUGGCCCUGUAGCAGUGAGAAGGCAGUUAAGGAUUUUAAGCAUUGUGCAAAACAGAGUAAUAGACUGCAGUCUGUCAUGACUAGAAGAAGGGGUCUCAUUGGAAGAAAUUGGAGGGACAAAUCAGACUCUGAACAAAACUAGCAGCACUGGGGAUGGAGCAAAGGGAUUGAAUACAAGAUAUAUGAAUGAUGUAAAAUUUACAGGCCAUGGUGACUAUUUGGACACGGGACAUGGAGAGAAGACUGCUCUGGCAGCCUAGAAGGCUUCAACUUUCACCUUUGCUGAUGACGUUCCAGUCCCAGUCUGCCCAAUCUGAAUUCUUCCUCAGCCUCUGCUUAGCUUCCUACCUGAAUCUAGUCCUUUUUAUUUUAAGCACCUUAAGGAAUAUACCUUUUAAAGUGUCUUGAAGGAUUUCAUUCCCCCAUUCAUUCAGCAAACUGUAAAGAGCUUCCCAUGUGCUGCCUGUUGAAUGCAACAUCCUCCCUCUCAAACCCUCUCCUGCUCAACAGGUCCCCUGCUAUCAAUGAUACCAGCAAUAGCACUGAAAGAAUAAAUAUACACCAGAUAACACA